rnacentral:rRNA from 1 species
CAGCAGCCGCGGUAAUACGUAGGGUCCGAGCGUUGUCCGGAAUUACUGGGCGUAAAGAGCUCGUAGGUGGUUUGUCGCGUUGUUCGUGAAAACUCACAGCUCAACUGUGGGCGUGCGGGCGAUACGGGCAGACUAGAGUACUGCAGGGGAGACUGGAAUUCCUGGUGUAGCGGUGGAAUGCGCAGAUAUCAGGAGGAACACCGGUGGCGAAGGCGGGUCUCUGGGCAGUAACUGACGCUGAGGCACGAAAGCGUGGGGAGCAAACAGGAUUAGAUACCCGAGUAGUCCCUGUCUCUUAUAA